GAUGAACGCUGGCGGCGUGCUUAACACAUGCAAGUCGAACGGAAAGGCCCAAGCUUGCUUGGGUACUCGAGUGGCGAACGGGUGAGUAACACGUGGGUGAUCUGCCCUGCACUUCGGGAUAAGCCUGGGAAACUGGGUCUAAUACCGGAUAGGACCACUUCUUGGAUGGUGUGGUGGAAAGUUUUCUCGGUGUGGGGUGAGCUCGCGGCCUAUCAGCUUGUUGGGGGGGGAAUGGGCUACCAAGGCGUCGAGGGGUAGCCGGCCUGUGAGGGUGUACGGCCACAUUGGGACUGUGAUACGGCCCCGACUCCUCCGGGAGGCAGCAGUGGGGAAUAUUGCACAAUGGGGGCAAGCCUGAUGCAGAGACGCCGCGUGGGGGAUGACGGCCUUCGGGUUGUAAAAUCCUUUCGCUAGGGACGAAGCGUUUUUGUGACGGUACCUGGAGAAGAAGCACCGGCUAACUACGUG
rnacentral:rRNA from 1 species